CGUGGUUGUGGCAAUUAAAACGCGCAAAUAUGCGCAAAAACCUCGGUGCAACGCAACUUCGUUUUUUGUCACCGCCUGCAAUCGACAAAUAACCCAAUUUCAGCGACUGGUUGACAUUUUCAAAGGCCUGCAAAGAUAGUUCGGUGUGAAGUUUAUCGACUGCAACUUUCUACGAGGCAUCUAUCCUAUCAAUCCCUCUGAGCAAUCCCGAGCCAACUGGACCCAACUGACUGGCUGACUUUCCCAACUGCCUGGAUGGAUGGACUCCGCCAAAGAUAGCCAGUCGUGCGUUGGAUGCGACACUCGUGGUCGCAGUUAUCAGUUAUCUAAGCGUCUUCCUUUUGACGCAGCGAUAAGACCACAUCAUCACAAUCACCAAAGCAUUAUCGCCAGACUAUCCGGGGAUUUAUCUUAGAGUGCUACUGGUUCUGACUGCUCAACCCAAAGGGGGGUUAAGAAACUACUAUCGUUGAGAUUCAUACAUGUCACUUGAAUUAGUCGGGGAAUUACUAUAUUAUGUAAGCCUACAUUUCAUGAUUAAAGCUAUUUUUGGGAUAGCCAAGUCUAUUUUGCCACCCCUUUUGUGACACACCCAUG